rnacentral:rRNA from 1 species
GAUGAACGCUGGCGGCGUGCCUAAUACAUGCAAGUCGAGCGAACAGAUGAGGAGCUUGCUCCUCUGACGUUAGCGGCGGACGGGUGAGUAACACGUGGAUAACCUACCUAUAAGACUGGGAUAACUUCGGGAAACCGGAGCUAAUACCGGAUAAUAUAUUGAACCGCAUGGUUCAAUAGUGUAAGACGGUUUUGCUGUCACUUAUAGAUGGAUCCGCGCCGCAUUAGCUAGUUGGUAAGGUAACGGCUUACCAAGGCAACGAUGCGUAGCCGACCUGAGAGGGUGAUCGGCCACACUGGAACUGAGACACGGUCCAGACUCCUACGGGAGGCAGCAGUAGGGAAUCUUCCGCAAUGGGCGAAAGCCUGACGGAGCAACGCCGCGUGAGUGAUGAAGGUCUUCGGAUCGUAAAACUCUGUUAUUAGGGAAGAACAAAUGUGUAAGUAACUAUGCACGUCUUGACGGUACCUAAUCAGAAAGCCACGGCUAACUACGU